AUCGCUUCUCGGCCUUUUGGCUAAGAUCAAGUGUAGAAACUAAUCAUUAUCUCUGUCCCUUUAAAAUUUCUUUCUUGGGCGGGGAUUUAGCUCAGUGUUUCCACCGCCUGCCUUGCAACCACA
ensembl:snRNA U2 U2 spliceosomal RNA